ACACUCGCUCAGAGAAGUUGGGGAUUUGGGAUAACUGGAAUAGAAACCUGAUGAAGGCACAAGAUCAGUCACCAUGACACAUCGAUUUAAUGACACAGCUCUCAUAUGUAUUAAUGAAUUUGGUUCUGAAGGCUCAAGAAUGGAGCCUUGAACCUCAAUUUUCAAGCCAACAUGGACAGGAAGUCCUUAAAGUGCUCAGACGAAAUGGGCAUUUGAACAUCUACAGUUCCACGACAACUGGUGUGAUCAAGAGCUCCAGAGCAGCUAAACUUGAGGGUUUUGGCCUCGGCAUGGAUCCUUGGAAAACAUCAAACGGCAGCAUCAAAAGCACUGAGGGCCC